rnacentral:lncRNA from 1 species
AGUUCUUUGGGAGCACCCUGGGAAACAGUGUGGCUAUGACUUGGAGCUGCUCACCAGUUCCAGUCAUUCUGUGGUUGAGAGCUGCUCCCUAUGGAUGUUAAUUCUUCUCUAUUUUAGAUUUUCCACAGGUGUGGGCCCCAUUAGCUCUGGCCACCUGAGAAAGCCCUCAGGCAAAGAGUCGCAGGUGAAAGCCAGCAGUUAGAGGUUCACAGAAAUGGUGAGUGCUGAACGGAUAUGGGUGGGUAUCAAUGAUGGCUGCUAUAGAGAUCAAGGCAUGAAACGGGACUACAAGGUAUACUCAAGGAAUUGCUGGUUGUCUAGCAUUCUGGGAGUGUAGGGAAUAAGUGUGGAAGUAUCAGGAUCUAAGGGUGUCUAGAUACAUAACAGCCAAAUCAUGAAGGGCCGUGUGAGGAAGACAUGCUAAGGAAGUUGGAACUUAUUUUGCGGGCCACUAAAUAUUUAAAAAAUAGAGUGUCAUAGUAGAAAUUUCAUCUUUGGAAAGAUUAUUUUGCAGUCUAGAGGGUGGGACUUCAGUGAGACUGAAGACAGAGAGGCCAGUUAAGAACUCUAUCAUCUUGGAUACAGCUUUUGUAGUUACGGUAUCACCAUUAGCUGACUGGAUUAAUUAAUAUCUCUAUUGAGCUUCUGCUGUGUUUGCAGCAUUUUGCAGGUAGCUGUGUGAGGUAUAUCAGGUAUUUUCUUUAAUUAAUGAAAAUAAUCUGUUUAAAGUCUAUUCAAUAUAUUGGUGCUAUUGCUGUAUGUUAGUAAGUGUUGGUGUGUUUAAAUUUUACAUGAUGUGUAUAUAUCACAGGUCUUGAGUACGCUAGCUGAUACCUAGUAUCAUUCUCUAAAAAACGACCAAUAGUAUUUUUCUUUUUCCUGAGAGCACAGGAUGAAAUUUAAGCUAAUAAUUUUCUUUUAUACCAAAAAAUUACCUUUAUACAAAUUUUUUAAUACCAAAAGUUCCCAUUCAUUGGGAACUAUAUGUAGGUCCCCAGUGAAUGAAUAUAUUAAUUAUUCACCUUGCCCAUGGACACUAGUCACAUUUUAUUUGCGACCAUUGCCACAUCUCAUAGAA